rnacentral:rRNA from 1 species
UACGUAGGGUGCGAGCGUUAAUCGGAAUUACUGGGCGUAAAGCGUGCGCAGGCGGUUCGUUGUGUCGGCGGUGAAAGCCCGGGCUUAACCCUGGGAAUGGCCGUCGAAACUGGCGAACUGGAGUGUGGCAGAGGGGGGUGGAAUUCCGCGUGUAGCAGUGAAAUGCGUAGAGAUGCGGAGGAACACCGAUGGCGAAGGCAGCCCCCUGGGCUGACACUGACGCUCAGGCACGAAAGCGUGGGGAGCAAACAGG